rnacentral:lncRNA from 1 species
AGGCAAAGAGUGCAGAGCUGAUUGGCAAUGCCAUCGCCAACAACCCUGCUUUCGUGGCGCUCAGGCAGAUUGAAGCCGCCAGGGAGAUCGCCCACACCAUCGCAGCCUCCAACAACAAGGUGUUCCUCGACUCGGGCGACCUGCUGCUUGGGCUCCAGUCGCUCAAGAUGCUCAACAACAACAACAAGAAAUGAGACCGUCUCCUGUGACAGCGUGUUGCGGUUGCCGCCGGUCUUGUCUACAUGGAAGAAGAGUACUUUUGAGAGGAACGUAAGUCGCUUAGUUUCUAGCAUUCCCGACCCGAAAACAAGAAAGACGCCCUUUGCUACUGUGAAUUAUUUGCGCACUUUUUCAAGUGAACCUGUCAGCUACUAUUGCUGUGCGUAGCUUAUAACGUCUGGGCGGUUAUGUGGUGAUUAUUAUGCUGGCCGUUUCAUGUUCAUCUUACGCAUUU